CAUGCACUGGUGGGGUCCCUCGGCCUGGCCUGUGCCCUCUUGCAAUCCAGGACCCCUUGGGGGAUGUCAGAGAGCCGGUUUCGGUCCGACUCCGCAGACCAGGCCGAGGGACCCCACCGGUACACA
rnacentral:pre_miRNA from 1 species